GACGAACGCUGGCGGCGUGCCUAAUACAUGCAAGUAGGACGCAGUUGCGAACGGGAGAGGAACGCGUAGGUAACUACCUCUUAGAGGGGGAUAACUAUUGGAAACGAUAGCUAAUACCGCAUACUAGUAGAUGGACCGGCGUUGUAUUAGCUAGGAGUUAGGGUAAUGGCCUAACCAGGCAACGAAACAUAGCCGACCUGCGAGGGUGAUGUGCCUCACUGGGACUGAGAACCGGCCCAGACUCCUCCGGGAGGCAGCAGUAGGGAAUCGUCGGCAAUGGGGGGAACUCUGACCGAGCAACGCCGCGUGAGUGAAGAAGGUUUUCGGAUCGUAAAGCUCUGUUGUUAAGGAAGCGGUACUUAACCAGAAAGGGACGGCUAACUACGUGCCAGCAGCCGCGGUAAUAC
rnacentral:rRNA from 1 species